rnacentral:rRNA from 1 species
AUGCCGCGCCUCGGCAUCGAGCAUCGUCAAGCUCCAGCUUCCUGUGAAGGUUCGAUGAAGUUCGUGCUUCCCUCUGAGACGCUUCGUCGUCGGUCCUGGGCGUCUGUCGUCUCUGGUACUGCUGGCUCGGCUACCCCGUCUGAUGUGGAGCUACAGUCCACUCUGGCAGAUCAGUCCAAGAUGUUGCAAGGCUUGAUGUCAUGUGUUGAGAGUUUUCUGGAGCGGGCGGAGGCUACUCUGACCAAGCUCUCCCUCGUGCCGGCUUUGUUGCCGACUGCUCCGACGCCGCGACCUCCUCUUGUUUCUGGUGUUUGUUCCGUGGGAGACAAGGGGACGGAGCUCUUCGGUUGUUUCUCCCCUCGUGCUGGGGUCAGUUCUUCGCUGGUGUUUGUCUUGCCCCUUGUGUCGGCUACUGUUGAGGAUGAGGCCAUCGUCGAGGUCGUCACCCCUGUGCUGCAGGUCAUGCCCGAGCUUCAACAACUAUGUGUGAGACCAGCUUCGCCUCCGUCUGUGGAGCAUAUGGAGGUCGACGCGCCAGCGACCUCAUGUGAGGGACAUGAUUCUCGUUUGUAA